rnacentral:snoRNA from 1 species
GCCAAUGAUGGAAAAAUAGAGACUGUCUGAAAUGCAGUUGUUUUGGUUAGCUGCAUAAAUUUGUUGAAAUUUCAUGAACUAGGACGGUCUGAGGC